rnacentral:rRNA from 1 species
UACGGAGGGUGCAAGCGUUAUCCGGAUUCACUGGGUUUAAAGGGUGCGUAGGUGGAUCUGUAAGUCAGUGGUGAAAUCUCCAAGCUUAACUUGGAAACUGCCGUUGAUACUAUAGAUCUUGAAUGCUGUGGAAGGUGAGCGGAAUAUGUCAAUGUAGCGGUGAAAUGACUUAGAUAUGACAUAGAACACCAAAUUGCGAAGGCAG